AUCUUCCAUCUCUAAUCGCCACCAUCACGUUUUUUGUCUGUCACCGCCACGUUUUACAAACCCUAGAUAUCAACACAGAUUCAGCAUUUGUUUGAAGGUUUGUUUAGGAUCAUUAAAAACAAACUUUAAUCCAUCAAUUCCUGAUCAAUCUGAUGUGUAAGUCAAGCAAACUGAUAAAAGGGAAUGUGUAACGGCGACCCACCAGAUCCGGGGAUAGAGGGACGCAUAUGGUAUCAGACGAGACGAGACGGUGAUGAUUCUGACCAAGAAUCAUAUGGUGGUACAAGGUGAUGGCGUUUUAGGUGAUGAAAGUUCAGAUGUCUUUGCAACAAACUCAAAUGGACAGGUUCUAUUUACUAAUUAGUUUACUGUGGAUGCGGUCAUCAAUUCGAAAUCUAGCCAGGAGGAUGUGUUUCAGUUGGUUGGUAUUUCCAUGGUUAAGUGUGCAAUGGUAGCUUACAACACUUCUAUGGUGGCUUAUGCACAGGUACUUUUUUCACUAUUUGGUGACAAGAUGGCUGACUCAAUGGAUAUGGGUGGACAUUUAUACACAUACAAUGAAGGUAGAACUUCAUACCUAUAUUUUUGUGUAGUAAUUCAAAAUGGUCGGGUUGGGUAAUAUAA